rnacentral:siRNA from 1 species
ACUGUGAUAGGACCGUCAGAGGAA